AUCAACAUUGCACUGAUUCAUCUUCUACAAACCCUAGACAAACAUCCCCCCAUGUCCCUCAUCUCUCUCUCGCUCCUGCUCCGAUCAAGAUCUCCGGCGCCCCUGUCUUUUCCGACGACACCCACCGGCAACAUACAACCCCCCUGUUCUUCUCCGCUGAACACUGGCGGUCGACGGUGAAGGCAGCGCCGUCGCUGGCGGCGGCGACGUGGAACAAGCGGAGGUGGUGAUGAACGACGUCAUUUUCCGGCGAUUCAGAGUUGGUUCGAGCUCCAGUCGAUGUUGUUUCAGUCCGGUUCCGGUUCGAGUCUCUAUUCGGGUUUGUUUGAUUCGAGUGAGAAUGUUCGGGUCUUAAUUCGUGUCUCGGUUCAGUUUUCCGUUCGGGUCAAAGAUGGUCACGACUCGGUUGGUUAUGGUCAACGACAUCAGAUUCGCAGUGGUUCGGGUUUUGUCAGGUUCGGUUCAACGGAGUAUGUCUUCCGGUUUGGGUUCAUAUUCGGUUCGGAUAGAGACGGACAACGAGUCGGGCCAACCCGGUGAGAUGUCACCGGAGCCGUACGGAGAUCACCACGGGAAUCCUCUCAUUUCAUUCGGAUAACCUCUCUCGUUCGUUCUCUUGGAUUUUUAUUCUCAAUCUUUACUCGUACGUUAUUUCACGAGGAAUCUCCAAACGCAACCAGUGUUGAGGAUGAUGAGACCAUGAAAUGAAGUAGGCUUGAUGCCUAGAUACACAUAUAGACGUUUAGGUUUAAAUGUUGUAUCAAUUUUGAUUAUGUUGUUAUGUAUUUCUUCGAACAUGUUGUUAUUUGUAUUUCUUGUAUUGUUGACAAUUUACUAUGGAAAUGAAAUUUGGAUUAUUAAAUUAUUGUCACAAA